rnacentral:rRNA from 1 species
GACGAACGCUGGCGGCAUGCCUAACACAUGCAAGUCGAGCGAGCUGAUCCCUUCGGGGUGAAGCUAGCGGCGGACGGGUGAGUAACACGUGGGCAACCUGCCUCAUAGAGGGGAAUAGCCUCCCGAAAGGGAGAUUAAUACCGCAUAAGAUUGUAGCUUCGCAUGAAGUAGCAAUUAAAGGAGCAAUCCGCUAUGAGAUGGGCCCGCGGUGCAUUAGCUAGUUGGUGAGGUAACGGCUCACCAAGGCGACGAUGGGUAGCCGACCUGGGAGGGUGAGCGGCAACAUUGGGCCUGGGACACGGCCCAGACUCCUACGGGAGGCAGCAGUGGGGAAUAUUGCACAAUGGGGAAAACCCUGAUGCAGCAAUGCCGCGUGAGUGAUGACGGCCUUCGGGUUGUAAAGCUCUGUCUUCAGGGACGAUAAUGACGGUACCUGAGGAGGAAGCCACGGCCAACUACGUGCCAGCCGCCGCAGUAA